UGCGCGGUUUUAAGUGAACCAAACUGCGUCGAUAAGGAACGCCAUUCACGUUGACUAGAUAUGAACGUUCGCUUAAACGAUCAGUAACAAUUCCGGCACUCCAUUGUUUUGAGGUUUCUGGUUGUAACUGUGCGUAUAUAGGAGAGCCAAUCCGGAGCUCAGAAGCAGGAACAUUUUCAAUGAUUCGCGGAAGUAAAUUUCCUUUCGACAUUGGUACACCACAACGAGUAGAGCGACAAAACAGUCGAGAUACGGGGCUGGAGCCAAUUUUAUUAGCUGCUUCUGCCUUUCCAUUUGCCUGCUGGUGAUGCGGUGCUGAGGUAACUAAUUCGAAAUCCCAUUCACGAGCGAAACGAGCCAUUUUAACAUUGGAAAAGUUGGUUGCAUUGUCACUGAUCACCCUCUGAGGUUUACCAUAACGAGCAAAAUUUUGUUCGCAGGCAACGAUGACGGACUCAGGAGUCAAAUCCUUCAAAAUGUCGAGUUCGAAAAAAUCCGAAUAGUGGUCAACCGUCACCAGGAACUUACGUUUGAUGUUUCGAUAUUCUGCUUGGAAAACGUCCAUGGAUACCAGUUGAAAUGGAUAAACCGGUAUAGAGUGGCUCAUCAUAGGCGGAUUCGGUUGUGAGGCUGCAUACGUUGCACAAACAGUACAUACUUUAACGACGUCUUUGAUCUGCAUCGACAUACCUGGCCAGAAGAGAUUGGCUCUGGCUAAUUUCAACGUUGACUCUAUUCCGUUGUGGCUUAUAUGGCAGCAAUCUAUGAGUUUUCGACGAAGAACAUGUGGCACGACUAAACGAUCGCCACGGUAUACUAUUCCAUCUUGAGUAGAUAGCUCGUUGCGAUAAUUAAAGUAGAUUUUAACGUUGUCUGGUACGCGGCCGGCGAUUGCUGGCCAUCCAUUAUGAAUAUAACUGAUAAUCAAUUGCAGCGACUGGUCCUUUUCGGUUUCGAAUUUUAUUUCCUCCAAACGGCUGUCCGAAAUGCACAGGAAUUUCGACAAUUGAAGCCCUUCUAUUUCACCCAGAACUUUAUAUAUAUUACGUUUGGUGAAAACUUCGCAUUGGUCUUUCUGCAGUGGUGCACGAGACAGAGCAUCUGCAACUACAUUAUCUUUCCCGGUGACAAACUCGAUGGAUAGUCGGUAACGCUGUAGGUUGAGCAACAUGUGUUGGAGUCUACGUGGUGCUGACAAAAGCGACUUCUGAAACAAACUGAUGAGCGGCUUGUGGUCUGUCCUGAUGACUGUUUUUUGGUUUCCUACGAUUAGUUGGUCAAAACGAGUGCAUGCGAACAGUAUUGCUAGUAACUCCUUUUCGAUUUGAGCAUAGUUGCGUUCGGUCGCUGUUAGUGUUCUUGAUGCAUACCCAAUAACACCGUUAGAUUGAAAGACCACUACACCCAGUCCAUAACAGCUUGCAUCACAGUGGUUCAUUAACGUUAUAAUAUCUAAGCGUUGUUACAUCUGAUACAAGUGAUUUAAUUCGGUUAAAUUCUUAAUUUUCAACAGUCGUCCACUGCCACGGUACAGAAUCUAAGAUAAGCUUACGGAGAUUUGUAAAGUUUGCGCUGAGAUUUUUUAUAAAUCUACUUAAAUAAUUGACCAUGCCAAUAAAGCGGUGAACUUCUUUGCGGUUUGUCGGUAUGGGGUAGUUCCGAAUUGUGGCGAUUUUGCUUUCAUCUGGUUUGAUGCCUUGAUUAGUCAACACAUGACCAUAAAAUUUCACUGACGUUUGGCAAAGCUUUAACUUCGACCUAUUCAACUUAACGUUAUGUUCUCUCAAACGAAUCAACAGCUGAUUCAGGCAGUUGUUGUGAUCAAUGAGAGCUUCUUCUAGGCUGUCACCGGAUCCAUAGACUAACAAAUCGUCCGCAAUGCACUCGACACCUUUCAAACCUUGAAUAACUUCCUGGAGGCGCAUCUGAAAGAUUUCAGGAGCAGAAGCUAUUCCAAAUGGUAAACGAGUCCAUCGGUAGCGACCAAAGGGUGUCCAAAAGGUUGUUAGCUUGCUACUGGGCUCAUCUAGAACUACAUGCCAAAACCCUUUUUUAGCAUCAACAGUAGAAAAAAUCUUUGCUCUGCUUAGUUCUGGAAGAAUUUCAUCAAGUGUAACAAAUUGUAGAUUUGGCCGUUUGAGUGCUUUGUUAAGGGGUAUCGGAUCCAAACAGAUUCUUAUACUGGAUGACUCUGGACUGUCACGUUGUACGAUUACAACGUUACUUACCCAGUCUGUAUGUUUAGAUUCUUUGACGAUUAUACCCUCCUUUUCAAGUAUCUCCAACUCCUUUCUGAGUUUCUCGCGCAUAGCUAUGGGUACUCUUCGUGGUGAUUGGAUGGAAGGAGAAAUGCAAUGGUCCACUUCCAAGGAAACUGUACCAGCUAGUUUACCGUGUCCAACGAAAAUCUGCUCGUGAGCUUCUACUAUCCUUUGUGCUUUUACUCGAUAAACGUUUAACAUCUUCUGCGAUGAGUCGGUUGAUUUCGGAGCUCCGAAAGAAACUGCUUUGUAAAAUUUCACAAAUCCGAGAAUUCUACAUACUUUUGCUGAUAACAAAGGGCGAUGGUUACCCUCAACUACCUGUAGUACUAACGAAUAUUUUCGACCUUUGCGACGGCAUGGGAUUUUUACUUCUCCAAGAACAUUGAUAGGAUUACCACCAAAGCUCUGUAGACGUAAUUUUGAAGGAAGCAGAGUAGGGCUUUGAUGUUCGCUAAGUUCUAUUAGACACUGGCGACCGAUCAAACUGGUGUUAGCACCAGUAUCCAGUUCACAUUUCACUGGUUUCCAUGUAUUAUUAAACUUAAAACUGAGGUUCGCUAUGACACUACCUCCAUUUUCCGAAUUAUCCACAAUUUUCCCAAUUUCAUAUUCAUCUUCACUUUCUUCUGAUGAAGCUUCGCCGGUCGACGACUCAUCACCUGUACUAGUACUCGUUUCUUCCUUGACUUCUUUUACCUUUUGGAAUUUCCUUCUUUUAACUAUUCGAGGCUUGUUGCAAACUUUCUCGAAAUGGUUUUUUCCUUUGCAACGGUGACACUUUUUACCCAAAGCUGGACAUAUACCCUUGGCGAAUUCAUGACGUUCACCGCAAAACUUACAACGAAGACCGUUUUUCUUAGGGUAUGAUAUUUUCUUCACGUCCGUGUUGGUCGGAAUUGCUAAGUCUAAUGAUCGUUUUGCUGCUAUUUCUUCUGCUCUACACAUAUCAACUGCUUUUGACAAAGUGAUAUCAGUGAUGGUCAGCAUUUUAGUGCGAAGCUGAGACCAUUUGUUAGCGGUAACAACUUUGUAUGUGAUGAGCUCUGUUUCCAGUGGUCCUAAUUUGGCUGAUUUGGCGAGAAUUUUCAAAUGAGUGGUAAAGUCAUCGAUGGAUUCUUCGGACGACUGAGAUGCGGAGAAAAAAUCCAAUCUAUCGAUAAUGGUGUUUCGCUUUGCCGUAACUUUUUCUUUAAUGGCCUUUAAUGUUUCCUUCACAUUAUUCUGUUGAUCUGGUGUGAGCUCAAAGUUGAAAAAUUUUCGCCUUGCCGGCUCACCAAUCACCGAUAGAAGAAAGCUAACUUUCUGAGUGUUAUCAACGUUUGGCCAUCGAUCCAUACCCACGGCUUUAGUGUAACUAUCCCAACUUCUCUCGAAAAAUUCGUAAUUCUGUUCCAUGUCCCCUUCUAGAGCUAGCGGCGCUGGUUGCGGAACUGAAAUAUUUGCCCCAAGUGAAGGUCCUACUGAUCCCUGCAUCGGAUCUGGUGCAGAUGAUUUUUUUGCUGACGUUAGACCGUGCAUGAGUUGUCCAAACAGCUUUGUUUGGUGCUCUAAAAACUGGGCAAACUGAUUUGGAUCCAUUUUGAUGAGGACUCCGUUAAAAAAAACUGCUAUUGCACUCGUGAUAGAAAAAUAAGAUGGCUGCCGAUGCUGAACGUCUUGUUCCAAUCGUUCUAAUAAUUUGAUAUGCGUUGAACACUUGUUUCCUUUGUUCGCGAUUUCGUAAAUGACGCGAGAGACUGUACUUAAAUUCACACGGCCACUUCUGACACCAUGUUUUAUUCACUCGAAAUUUACUUCAGAAUUUUAUUAGGCGAUCCUUACAUAGCGAAGUACAGAUAUAUAAUGAAUAAAGAAAGGACAUGAUCGCGCUUAUGGCGCGUAACAACGUACACUAGUUCUUUAUUCAUGUGUACGCUGGAAGAAGCUGUUAAAACAUUCCCGAUAUAAAUUUUCUUUAAGUUUCGUCUUAGACUCGACUUCCCGAUAUGUUGUCAGCACUAAAAUUAAAAUUUUCACCUGACGAGAUAAUAACCCCUAUUCUGCAUUUUGACCGAAUCGAAAUGCUCCGAUCGAAUGUGUACAUUUUCAUGUUGCAUUUCGAUCGAAAUAUGUUUUUGUGCGGAAAACUCGAACUAGGUCGUAGUAGAGAAUGAAAAUUUUCACAUUCGAACAGAAUACAGAAUAGGGGUGUGUAUCCCAGUUAAACGUCCAAUAAAUGCGUCCCGAAAUCGUUCGUGCAAGCUUCGUGUUAAGGGGCGAGUAGGGUCUAACCGACGACGUCUAACACUAUUGAAAAAUCAUUAAUUUUUUUCUUUGUAUUCUCUUAUAGUAAAACAUUUCAAGAAUAUUCCGUGAAAUUUUCAAGCCUAUCGGAACAAAACUCAGUGAGUUAUGGGCCUUUAUCUUUGUUUAUCUGCAAGCUCGGUGCAUAGGCCAAAGAUUACUGCUUCGAUUGACUUAAAAACUUAACAAACCAUUUUUGUAAUGUUUUAUUAUGGGAGAAUACAAAAGAAAAACCUGUUUUAAUCCACCUAGUGGUGUAAUGAUGCCUUUCUCAUGUACAUAUAAUAUUGUGGUAUUCUAUUCAAAAAAAUUCUCUUAGAGUUUUGGAAGAAACCAAGAGAUUGUUUAUGCAUAACAUACAGAAUAAAAGAGUGCUUUGAUUGCGUAAGCCAUCCUUAAGAAAACGAAAUGGGAUCACUAUUAUAUGCACUUUCCGGAAUCCGGAACCGGAUACCGGAAACCAGGAUAGCCGGAAACAGUUUGUUUAGUUGCCUACUGAUAAUGACUAUCGAUUUGUGUAGUUUUGAGACCAGUUUAGAAUUUUUUUUACGUUUUUUG